UACGUAGGGUGCAAGCGUUGUCCGGAAUUAUUGGGCGUAAAGAGCUCGUAGGCGGUCUGUCGCGUCUGCUGUGAAAGCCCGGGGCUUAACCCCGGGUCGGCAGUGGAUACGGGCAGGCUAGAGGUAGGUAGGGGAGAAUGGAAUUCCCGGUGUAGCGGUGAAAUGCGCAGAUAUCGGGAGGAACACCGGUGGCGAAGGCGGUUCUCUGGGCCUUACCUGACGCUGAGGAGCGAAAGCGUGGGGAGCGAACAGG
rnacentral:rRNA from 1 species